rnacentral:rRNA from 1 species
CCCUGGCAGUCAGAGGCGAUGAAGGACGUGCUAAUCUGCGAUAAGCGUCGGUAAGGUGAUAUGAACCGUUAUAACCGGCGAUUUCCGAAUGGGGAAACCCAGUGUGAUUCGUCACACUAUCAUUAACUGAAUCCAUAGGUUAAUGAGGCGAACCGGGGGAACUGAAACAUCUAAGUACCCCGAGGAAAAGAAAUCAACCGAGAUUCCCCCAGUAGCGGCGAGCGAACGGGGAGCAGCCCAGAGCCUGAAUCAGUGUGUGUGUUAGUGGAAGCGUCUGGAAAGGCGUGCGAUAC